GACGAACGCUGGCGGCGUGCUUAACACAUGCAAGUCGAACGGAAAGGCCCCUUUGGGGGUACUCGAGUGGCGAACGGGUGAGUAACACGUGAGUAACCUGCCCUUGACUUCGGGAUAACUUCAGGAAACUGGGGCUAAUACCGGAUAGGAAUCCUUGCUGCAUGGUGGGGGUUGGAAAGCUUCGGCGGUGUUGGAUGGACUCGCGGCUUAUCAGCUUGUUGGUGGGGUAGUGGCUUACCAAGGCUUUGACGGGUAGCCGGCCUGAGAGGGCGACCGGCCACAUUGGGACUGAGAGACGGCCCAGACUCCUACGGGAGGCAGCAGUGGGGAAUAUUGCACAAUGGGCGGAAGCCUGAUGCAGCAACGCCGCGUGCGGGAUGACGGCCUUCGGGUUGUAAACCGCUUUCAGCAGGGGCGAAGCUUGUGGUGACGGUACCUGCAGAAGAAGCACCGGCUAACUACGUG
rnacentral:rRNA from 1 species